AUUUAUUCAGCACUCAGAAUGCUCCAGGCAGUGUAAUCUCAUUCCAUCUUCAUUCAUGACUGCAAACAGGUAUGGCCACCAAUGCUCCAGAUUUACAUUCUAUUUACCUCGCAACCCCAGUGGAAAAAGACUGUCUCUUUCCUGAUUGGUCCAGCAGAAAUCUUGGUAUUAACUCUGACUGCCCACACUUGAAUAUGAACUAUUAUGACAGCGGGGUGCUGGGUAAAGCUGAGCAUUGCCCAAGGGCACCCACCACACUUGACCUGUCUGGAGACCACCUCAAGCCUCGAUGCGCUGGCAUCUGACCUGAACAUGCUGAACCGGAGUGAGGCCCGUUGUUGCCUCCCUACAUCUGACCCAAGGGCCAUUCGCGUAAGAAGCUGGAUCCAUUCCCUCUCCCUCCGCCAGAGACUGCUCCCCAACAUCAGUCCGUUCUGGCUUCUACAAUUCAGAAAUGAGAUUGAAGUUUUAAACUGGACUAUACUUCAAAAACUGAAAGUAAUCAGAAUAUUAUAGAAUGUGUCCAAAAUGUUUCAAUGAUGAGACACUGGAGUUCCCCUAUGCAUAGUUGAAAGCAGUGAUUAGAAAAAAAAAAUGUAAUUUUUGUUAAUACCCUACUAAGCUGAGACUACUCGAUUAACAUAUAGAGUCCAACUAUAUACAUAAUGAUUAUUUUUUGAGACAGAGUCUCACCCUGUUGCCCAGGCUGGAGUGCAGGGGCACAAUCACAGCUCACUGCAGUCUUAACUUCCUAGGCUCAAGCAGUCCUCCCACCCCAGUGUCUCAAGUAGCUGGGACCAGGUGUGCACCACCACACCUGGCUAAUUUUUUGUUUUAAUUUUUUGUAGAGAUGAGGUGUCACUAUGUUGCCUAGGCUGGCCUCAAACUCUUGAGCUCAAGCUAUCCUCCUGCCUUAGCCUCCCAAAGUGCUGGGAUUAUAGGCCUGAGCCACCACUCCCAGCCAUACGUAAUUUUGUGUCAUGAGUUUUCACUUACUAAUUACACAACAAUUUUAUCAUCUUAAAAAAAACUUCGUAAGUAUUAUUUAUAGUAGGUUUAUAUUUCCAUUAUAUAUAU